rnacentral:rRNA from 1 species
GACGAACGCUGGCGGCGUGCCUAAUACAUGCAAGUCGAGCGGACAGAAGGGAGCUUGCUCCCGGAAGUUAGCGGCGGACGGGUGAGUAACACGUGGGCAACCUACCCUGUAGAUCGGGAUAACAUCGAGAAAUCGGUGCUAAUACCGGAUAAUCAUUUGAAGUGCAUGCUUCGAAUGUAAAAGAUGGCUCCGGCUAUCACUACGGGAUGGGCCCGCGGCGCAUUAGCUAGUUGGUAAGGUAAUGGCUUACCAAGGCAACGAUGCGUAGCCGACCUGAGGGGGUGAUCGGCCACACUGGGACUGCGACACGGCCCAGACUCGUACGGGAGGCAGCAGUAGGGAUUCUUCCGCAAUGGAGGAAAGUCUGACGGAGCAACGCCGCGUGAGUGAUGAAGGUUUUCGGAUCGUAAAGCUCUGUUGUUAGGGAAGAACAAGUGCCGUUUGAAUAAGGCGGCACCUUGACGGUACCUAACCAGAAAGCCACGGCUAACUACGUGCCAGCCGCCGCCGUAAGAC